rnacentral:rRNA from 1 species
CGCCCUACGGGGGGCAGCAGUGGGGAAUAUUGCGCAAUGGGGGCAACCCUGACGCAGCAACGCCACGUGAUUGAAGACGGCCUUCGGGUUGUAAAGAUCUUUAAUCGGGGACGAAUUUUGACGGUACCCGAAGAAUAAGCUCCGGCUAACUACGUGCCAGCAGCCGCGGUAAUACGUAGGGAGCAAGCGUUAUCCGGAUUUACUGGGUGUAAAGGGCGUGUAGGCGGGCAUGCAAGCCAGAAGUGAAAUCUGGGGGCUUAACCCCCAAACUGCUUUUGAAACUGUAGCCCUUGAGUAUCGGAGAG